UUGCUUUGGCAUCACAUAUACUAAAAUUGGAACGAUAUAUCCUCCCUAUGCAAGGAUGACAUGCAAAUUUAUGAAGCAUUCCAUAUUUAA
rnacentral:snRNA from 1 species